rnacentral:lncRNA from 1 species
AAAAUGUACAGUGUCCCUAGCAUAGCUUCACAACAUUGUCCAUCUCUUCCCUUCCCGCCUUCACCUCUCUGAUAACCACCAUGCACUUGAUAGGCUUUGUUUCUCCCAAACAUUAAAGUAUAUGGGGCCUCAUUUUGCUCUCCCCCAUUCCCUUCUGGCUUGCCCAUCCAGCAACCUAUUGUGAUGAAUUAAGUUCCACCCUGAAUAUAGAUAGUGAGGGGAGAACUUGCAGGCUGUAGCCAUGUAACCACUUCAGAAAGGCAUUCAUCAGACUAAGCCCACCAAUAACAAUUGUGCCUAUCAGCUUCGGUGGACGAAUUAGUGAAUUCAAUGACACCUACAUUGCCACUAAAAUAUUUUGAAAUAUUUAAUAUAUUAUUUGAAAUAUUUGAUUUGUUUAGUAAAUGAAGUUUGAGUAUGUUUUGAACAUACAAAUUGUUUGGUGAAAUCAUGCAAAAGGAAUUACGGGAAUUCAACAUAAUUACUACACAGAGCAUGACACCCAUGUUGGAAAUAUGCCCUAGAGGCAAUAAUAAAAGGAUUAUUAUUAUAUUUCCUUGUUCAUGAUAAUUGUCUUUUAUUCAUGCUAUAAUUGUGUUAUCCGGAAAUCGUAAUACAUGUGUGAAUACAUAGACCAAUAUGUCCCUAGUGAGCCUCUAGUUGACUAGCUCGUUGAUCAACAGAUAGUCAUGGUUUCCUGACUAUGGACAUUGGAUGUCAUUGAUAACGAGAUCACAUCAUUAGGAGAAUGAUGUGAUGGACAUGACCCAAUCCUAAGCAUAGCACAAGAUCGUGUAGUUCGUUUGCUAGAGCUUUUCCAAUGUCAAGUAUCUUUUCCUUAGACCAUGAGAUCGUGUAACUCCCGGAUACCGCAGGAGUGCUUUGGGUGUACCAAACGUCACAACGUAACUGGGUGACUAUAAAGGUAUACUACGGGUAUCUCCGAAAGUGUCUGUUGGGUUGACACGGACCGAGACUGGGAUUUGUCACUCCGUUUGACGGAGAGGUAUCUCUGGGCCCACUCGGUAAUGCAUCAUCAUAAUGAGCUCAAUGUGACCAAGUGUUUGGUCACGGGAUCAUGCAUUACGGUAUGAGUAAAGUGACUUGCCGGUAACGAGAUUGAACGAGGUAUUGGGAUACCGACGAUCAAAUCUCGGGCAAGCAACAUACUGAUUGAUAAAGGGAAUUGUAUACGGGGUUGCUUGAAUCCUUGACAUCAUGGUUCAUCCGAUGAGAUCAUCGAGGAGAAUUUGGGAGCCAACAUGGGUAUCCAGAUCCCGCUGUUGGUUAUUGACCGGAGAGCCGUCUCGGUCAUGUCUACGUGUCUCCCGAACCUAUAGGGUCUACACACUUAAGGUUCGGUGACGCUAGGGUUGUAGAGAUAUUUGUAUGCAGCAAACCGAAAGUUGUUCGGAGUCCCGGAUGAGAUCCGGGAUGUCACGAGGAGUUCCAGAAUGGUCUGGAGGUAAAGAAUUAUAUAUGGGAAGUCGAGUUUCGACCAUCGGGAAAGUUUCGGGGGUCACCGGUAUUGUACCGGGACCACCGGAACGGUCCCGGGGGUCCACCGGGUGGGGCAACCCAUCCCGGAGGGCCCCAUGGGCUGAAGUGGGAGGGGAAUCAGCCCCUGGUGGGCUGGUGCGCCCCCCCUAGGCCCCCUGUGCCUAGGGUUGGGAACCCUAGGGGAGGGGGCGCCUCCACUUGCCUUGGGGGGCAAGGCACCUCCCUUGGCCGCGCCCCCUAGGGACCCUAUAUAUAGAGGGGGGGAGGGAGGGCAGCCGCACCCUUGCACUUGGCGCCUCCCUUCCCCCUUGCUACACCUCUCCCUCCCGCAGACGCUUGGCGAAGCCCUGCCGGGAUCCCUGCUGCAUCCACCACCACGCCGUCGUGCUGCUGGAUCUUCAUCAACCUAUCCUUCCCCCUUGCUGGAUCAAGAAGGAGGAGACGUCACGCUGACCGUACGUGUGUUGAACGCGGAGGUGUUGUUCGUUCGGCGCUAGGAUCUCCGGUGAUUUGGAUCACGACAAGUACGACUCCCUCAACCCUGUUCUCUUGAAUGCUUUCGCUCGGUCUACAAGGGUAUGUAGAUGCAUUCCUCUCUCUCGUUGCUAGAUGAACUCAUAGAUUGAUCUUGGUGAAACCGUAGGAAAUUUUUUGUUUUCUGCAACGUUCCCCAACAGUGGCAUCAUGAGCUAGGUCUAUGCGUAGUUCUCUUUGCACGAGUAGAACACAAAUCUGUUGUGGGCAUAGAUGUUGUCAACUUUCUUGCCACUACUAGUCUUAUUUUGCUUCAGCGGUAUUGUGGGAUGAAGCGGCCCGGACCGACCUUACACGUACGCUUACGUGAGACAGGUUCCACCGACUGACAUGCACUAGUUGCAUAAGGUGGCUAGCGGGUGUCUGUCUCUCCCACUUUAGUUGGAGCGGAUUCGAUGAAAAGGGUCCUUAUGAAGGGUAAAUAGAAGUUGACAAAUCACGUUGUGGCUUUUUUCGUAGGUAAGAAAACGUUCUUGCUAGAACCCUAUUGCAGCCACGUAAAAGAUGCAACAACAAUUAGAGGACGUCUAACUUGUUUUUUUCAGCAAUUGCUUUGUGAUGUGAUAUGGCCAAAAGUUGUGAUGAAUGACGAAUGAUAUAUUGUGAUGUAUGAGAUCAUGUUCUUGUAAUAGGAAUCACGACUUGCAUGUUGAUGAGUAUGACAACCGGCAAGAGCCAUAGGAGUUGUCUUAAUUAUUGUAUGACCUGCGUGUCAAUGAUUUAACGCCAUGUAAUUUCUCUACUUUAUUGCUAAACUGUUAGCUAUAGUAGUAGAAGUAAUAGUUGGCGAGCAACUUCAUGGAGACACGAUGAUGGAGAUCAUGAUGAUGGAGAUCAUGGUGUCAUGCCGGUGACGAAGAUGAUCAUGGAGCCCCGAAGAUGGAGAUCAAAUGAGCUAUAUGAUAUUGGCCAUAUCAUGUCACUACUAUUUGAUUGCAUGUGAUGUUUAUCAUGUUUUUUCAUCUUGUUUACUUAGAACGACGGUAGUAAAUAAGAUGAUCCCUCAUAAUAAUUUUAAAAAAGUGGCCCCCCUAACUGUGCGUUGUUGCGACAGUUCGUUGUUUCGAAGUAUGGAAGAUACGAUCAACAUGGAGAUGUUCACCGAUGAUGACUAGUCCGUCUCACGUGAUGAUCGGACACGGCCUAGUCGACUCGGAUCAUGUAGAGGGAUUUCUAAUCUGAGUGGGAGUUCAUUAAAUAAUUUGAUUAGAUGAACUUAAUUAUCAUGAACUUAGUCUAAAAUCUUUGCAAAAAUGUCUUGUAGAUCAAAUGGCCAACGCUCAUGUCAACAUGAACUUCAACGCGUUCCUAGAGAAAACCAAGCUGAAAGAUGAUGGCAGCAACUAUACGGACUGGGUCCGGAACCUGAGGAUCAUCCUCAUAGCUGCCAAGAAAGCAUAUGUCCUAGAAGGACCGCUAGGUGAAGCACCCAUCCCAGAGAACCAAGACGCUAUGAACGCUUGGCAGUCACGUGCUGAUGAUUACUCCCUCAUUUAGUGCGGCAUGCUUUACAGCUUAGAACUGGGGCUCCAAAAGCGUUUUGAGCAAUACGGAGCAUAUGAGAUGUUCGAGGGGCUGAAAAUGGUUUUCCAAGCUCACGCCCGGGUCGAGAGAUAUGAAGUCCCCGACAAGAUCUAUAGUUGUAAGAUGGAGGAAAAUAGUUCUGUCAGUGAGCACAUACUCAAAAUGUCUGGGUUGCACAACCGCCUGUCCCAGCUGGACAUUAACCUUCCGGACGAGGCGGUCAUUGACAGAAUCCUUCAGUCGCUCCCACCGAGCUACAAGAGCUUUGUGAUGAACUACAAUAUGCAGGGGAUGGUGAAAACUAUUCCUGAAGUAUUUUCAAUGCUGAAGUCAGCAGAGGUAGAAAUCAAAAAAGAACAUCAAGUGUUGAUGGUCAAUAAAACCACCAAGUUCAAGAAAGGCAAGGGUAAGAAGAACUUCACAAGGACGGAAGGAUGUUGCCGCGCCCGGUAAGCCAGUUGCCGGGAAGAAGUCAAAAAUGGACCCAAGCCUGAGACUGAGUGCUUUUAUUGCAAGGGAAGCAGACACUGGAAGCGGAACUGCCCCAAAUACUUAGCGGGCAAGAAGGUCGGCAACACUAAAGGUAUAUGUGAUAUACAUGUAAUUGAUGUGUACCUUACCAGUGCUCGUAGUAGCUCCUGGGUAUUUGAUACCGGUGUCGUUGCUCAUAUUUGUAACUCAAAGCAGGAGCUGCGGAAUAAGUGGAGACUAGCGAAGGACGAGGUGACGAUGCGCGUCGGGAAUGGUUCCAAGGUCGAUGUGAUCGCCGUCGGCACGCUACCUCUACAUUUACCUCCGGGAUUAGUUUUAAACCUCAAUAAUUGUUAUUUAGUGCCAAGUUUGAGCAUGAACAUUGUAUCUGGAUCUCGUUUAAUACGAGAUGGCUACUCAUUUAAAUCCGAGAAUAAUGGUUGUUCUAUUUAUAUGAGAGAUAUGUUUUAUGGUCAUGCCCUGAUGGUCAAUGGUUUAUUCUUAAUGAAUCUUGAAUGUGAUGUUACACAUAUUCAUAGUAUGAAUACCAAAAGAUGUAAAGUUGAUAACGAUAGUCCCACAUACUUGUGGCACUGCCGCCUUGGUCACAUUGGUGGCAAGCGCAUGAAGAAGCUCUAUGCUGAUGGGCUUUUAGAGUCUCUCGAUUAUGAAUCAUUUGACACAUGCGAACCAUGCCUUAUGGGCAAAAUGACCAAGACUCCUUUCUCCGGCACAAUGGAGCGAGCAACCAACUUAUUGGAAAUCAUACAUACUGAUGUGUGCGGUCCAAUGAGCGUUGAGGCUCGUGGAGGAUAUCGUUAUGUUCUCACUCUCACUGAUGACUUAAGUAGAUAUGGGUAUGUCUACUUGAUGAAACACAAGUCUGAGACCUUUGAAAAGUUCAAGGAAUUUCAGAAUGAGGUAGAGAAUCAACGUGACCGAAAGAUAAAGUUCUUACGAUCAGAUCGUGGAGGAGAAUAUUUAAGUCAUGAAUUUGGUACGCACUUAAGGAAAUGUGGAAUCAUUUCACAACUCACGCCGCCUGGAACACCUCAACAUAACGGUGUGUCCGAACGUCGUAAUCGCACUCUAUUGGAUAUGAUGCGAUCUAUGAUGUCUCUUACCGAUUUACCGCUAUCAUUUUGGGGAUACGCUCUAGAGGCAGCUACAUUCACUUUAAAUAGGGCUCCGUCUAAAUCCGUUGAGACGACACUGUAUGAAUUAUGGUUUGGGAAGAAACCUAAGCUGUCGUUUCUAAAAGUUUGGGGAUGCGAUGCUUAUGUCAAGAAACUUCAACCUGAAAAGCUCGAACCCAAGUCGGAAAAAUGCGUCUUCAUGGGAUACCCUAAGGAAACCAUUGGGUAUACCUUCUACCUUAGAUCCGAAGGCAAGAUCUUUGUUGCCAAGAACGAAUCCUUUCUGGAAAAAGAGUUUCUCUCGAAAGGAGUAAGUGGGAGGAAAGUAGAACUCAAUGAAGUACUACCUCUUGAACCGGAAAGUAGUGCAGCUCAGGAAAAUGUUCCUGUGGUGCCUACACCGACUGGAGAGGAAAUUAAUAAUGAUGAUCAAGGUACUUCGGAUCAAGUUGCUACUGAACUUCAUACGUCCACAAGGACACGUUCCACACCAGAGUGGUAUGGCAACCCUGUCCUGGAAAUCAUGUUGUUAGACAACGGUGAACCUUCAAACUAUGAAGAAGCGAUGGCGGGCCUAGAUUCCAACAAAUGGCUUGAAGCCAUGCAAUCCGAGAUAGAAUCCAUGUAUGCAAACAAAUUAUGGACUUUGACAGACUUGCCCGAUGAUCGGCGAGCGAUAAAAAACAAAUGGAUCUUUAAGAAGAAGACGGACGCGGAUGGUAAUGUUACCAUCUAUAAAGCUCGACUUGUUGCUAAGGGUCAUCAGCAAGUUCAAGGGGUUGACUACGAUGAGACUUUCUCUCCCGUAGCGAAGCUGAAGUCCGUCUGAAUCAUGUUAGCAAUUGCCACAUACUAUGAUUAUGAGAUAUGGCAGAUGGACAUCAAAACGGCAUUCCUUAACGGCUAUCUUAAGGAAGAACUGUAUAUGAUGCAGCCGGAAGGUUUUGUCGACCCUAAGAAUGCUAACAAGGUAUGCAAGCUCCAGCGAUCCAUUUAUGGGCUGGUGCAAGCAUCUCGGAGUUGGAAUAUUCGCUUUGAUGAGAUGAUCAAAGCGUUUGGGUUUAUGCAGACUUAUGGAGAAGCCUGUGUUUACAACAAAGUGAGUGGGAUCUCUGUAGCAUUUCUCAUAUUAUAUGUAGAUGACAUACUUUUGAUGGGAAAUGAUAUAGAACUUUUGGACAGCAUUAAGGCCUACUUGAAUAAGUGUUUUUCAAUGAAGGACCUUGGAGAAGCUGCUUACAUAUUAGGCAUCAAGAUCUAUAGGGAUAGAUCGAGACGCCUCAUAGGUCUUUCACAAAGUACAUACCUUGAUAAGAUAUUGAAGAAGUUCAAUAUGGAUCAGUCCAAGAAAGGGUUCUUGCCUGUAUUGCAAGGUGUAAGAUUGAGCUCGGCUCAAUGCCCGACCACGGCAGAAGAUAAAGAAGAGAUGAGUGUCAUCCCCUAUGCCUCAGCCAUAGGAUCUAUUAUGUAUGCCAUGCUGUGUACCAGACCUGAUGUAAACCUUGCCGUAAGUUUGGUAGGAAGGUACCAAAGUAAUCCCGGCAAGGAACACUGGACAGCGGUCAAGAAUAUCCUGAAGUACCUGAAAAGGACAAAGGACAUGUUUCUCAUUUAUGGAGGUGACGAAGAGCUCGUUGUAAAGGGUUACGUCGAUGCUAGCUUCGACACAGAUCUGGAUGACUCUAAGUCUCAAACCGGAUACGUGUAUAUGUUGAAUCGUGGAGCAGUAAGCUGGUGCAGUUGCAAGCAGAGCGUCGUGGCGGGAUCUACAUGUGAAGCAGAGUACAUGGCAGCCUCGGAGGCAGCGCAUGAAGCAAUAUGGAUGAAGGAGUUCAUCACCGACCUAGGAGUCAUACCCAAUGCGUCGGGGCCGAUCACUCUCUUCUGUGACAACACUGGAGCUAUUGCCCUUGCCAAGGAGCCCAGGUUUCACAAGAAGACCAAGCACAUCAAGCGUCGUUUCAACUCCAUCCGUGAAAAUGUUCAAGAUGGAGACAUAGAUAUUUGCAAAGUACAUACAGAUCUGAAUGUUGCAGAUCCGUUGACUAAGUCAACCUCUUCCGCGAGCAAAACAUGAUCAACACCAGAACUCUAUGGGUGUUCGAUUCAUCACAAUGUAACUAGAUUAUUGACUCUAGUGCAAGUGGGAGACUGUUGGAAAUAUGACCUAGAGGCAAUAAUAAAAGGAUUAUUAUUAUAUUUCCUUGUUCAUGAUAAUUGUAUUUUAUUCAUGCUAUAAUUGUGUUAUUCGGAAAUCGUAAUUCAUGUGUGAAUACAUAGACCAAUAUGUCCCUAGUGAGCCUCUAGUUGACUAGCUCGUUGAUCAAUAGAUAGUCAUGGUUUCCUGACUAUGGACAUUGGAUGUCAUUGAUAACGAGAUCACAUCAUUAGGAGAAUGAUGUGAUGGACAAGACCCAAUCCUAAGCAUAGCACAAGAUCAUGUAGUUCAUUUGCUAGAGCUUUUCCAAUGUCAUGUAUCUUUUCCUUAGACCAUGAGAUCGUGUAACUCCCGGAUACCGUAGGAGUGCUUUGGGUGUACCAAACGUCACAACGUAACUGGGUGACUAUAAAGGUAUACUACGGGUAUCUCCGAAAGUGUCUGUUGGGUUGACACGGAUCGAGACUGGGAUUUGUCACUCAGUUUGACGGAGAGGUAUCUCUGGGCCCACUCGGUAAUGCAUCAUCAUAAUGAGCUCAAAGUGACCAAGUGUCUGGUCACGGUAUCAUGCAUUACGGUACGAGUAAAGUGACUUGCCGAUAACGAGAUUGAACAAGGUAUUGGGAUACCGACGAUCGAAUCUCGGGCAAGUAACAUACCGAUUAACAAAGGGAAUUGUAUACGGGGUUGCUUGAAUCCUUGACAUCGUGGUUCAUCCGAUGAGAUCAUCGAGGAGCAUGUGGGAGCCAACAUGGGUAUCCAGAUCCCGCUGUUGGUUAUUGACCGGAGAGCCAUCUCGGUCAUGUCUACGUGUCUCUCGAACCUGUAGGGUCUACACACUUAAGGUUCGGUGACACUACGGUUGUAGAGAUAUUUGUAUGCAGCAAACCUAAAGUUGUUCGGAGUCCCGGAUGAGAUCCCGGAUGUCACGAUGAGUUCCAGAAUGGUCCGGAGGUAAAGAAUUAUAUAUGGGAAGUUGAUUUUCAGCCCUCGGGAAAGUUUUGGGGGUCACCGGGACCACCGGAAGGGUCCCGGGGGUCCACCGGGUGGGUCCACCCAUCCCGGAGGGCCCCAUGGGCUGAAGUGGGAGGAGAACCAGCCCCUGGUGGGCUGGUGCGCCCCCCUUACCCCCCCUGCGCCUAGGGUUGGGAACCCUAGGGGAGGGGGCGAUGCCUCUACUUGCCUUGGGGGGCAAGCCCCCUUGGCCGCCGCCCCCCUAGGAGAUCCCAUCUCCUAGGGCCAGCGCCCCCCCUGGGGACCCUGUAUAUAGAGGGGGGAGGGAGGGCAGCCGCACCCUUGCACUUGGCGCCUCCCUUCCCCCUUGCUACACCUCUCCCUCCCGCAGAUGCUUGGCGAAGCCCUGCCGGGAUCCCUGCUGCAUCCACCACCACGCCGUCGUGCUGCUGGAUCUUCAUCAACCUCUCCUUCCCCCUUGUUGGAUCAAGAAGGAGGAGAUGUCACGCUGACCGUACGUGUGUUGAACGCGGAGGUGCCGUCCGUUCGACGCUAGGAUCUCCGGUGAUUUGGAUCACGACGAGUACGGCUCCCUCAACCCCGUUCUCUUGAACGCUUCCGCUCGAUCUACAAGGGUAUGUAGAUGCACUCCUCUCUCUCGUUGCCAGAUGAACUCAUAGAUUGAUCUUGGUGAAACCGUAGGAAAUUUUUUGUUUUCUGCAACGUUCCCCAACAACCCAUAGCAGUAUCAUGUGUACAGUCUGAGAAAAUACGAUUGUGCUUAGUUUGAUCUUGGUGAGCAGAAACUACAAAAUAUACAUAGUUCACAAUUAACCAUCAGUCUGGACAAGUGAAUGCAAGAGCCAACAUAACUCAAGUUUUAGUAAAUGAAGUUUGAGUAUGUUUUGAACAUACAAAUUAUUUGGUGGAAUC